rnacentral:misc_RNA from 1 species
AAUUAUUUCUAUUUCUAUUUCACUGCUGCCUUACCGCUAACGUCUCUGCUCAACUCAGAUUCCCCUGCCAUAUCUGCUUUCAUCUCUGCACAACUCAGAUUCCUGUCUCUCGUCUUCUACUUCGACGCAGCCUCCAACAUCCCCAGCGACAAGAGGACGCUAUUUUAAAUUGGGGAAGUUCAUUUCCUUGGGCAAGUUCAUUGACCUGGUGGUGAACACGGAGAAGACGAUUUUCUCUGCUGCUGAAAUUUUGCAAUGGCUUUUCUGUUUAACAAAUUUCAAGAGGCAGUGAAAGUUCUUGCAAAAAGUCCUACAUUUGCCAGAGAUCCAAGGCUUUGAAGCAGACAUAAAUCGCCUUUUCCUAUAUUCCUGGUAACUGUCUAUUUGUUAUUGAAAUGAUCACUGGUUAUAAUUUGCCAUUUUUUUAAUGUAGAAUCUAUGUAGACAAUGGG